UUUUUUUUUUUUUGUAUUUUUAGUAGAGACGGGGUUUCACCGUGUUAGUCAGGAUGGUCUCGAUCUCCUGACCUCAUGAUCCGCCUGCCUCGGCCUCUCAAAGUGCUGGGAUUACAGGCAUGAGCCACCGCGCCUGGCCAGCGCUCUGCACUCUUUUACUGGAAAGUGGGAGGAGGGCUGAGACUUCUGAAUUGUAAUUUUUAAAUCUACCUCCUGUUAGUCAACAAGCAUUUACUUAAUACCAAUUAAAAUCGUAUGUGGUUUUAAAACUAUACCAAUUCUAGUAAUAUAUAUAUGUUGUAAGAGACAGUGAAGAAUUUUUACCGAGUAGGAAUAUGGUUGUUGAUUUUUGUUUUCAUUAACUUUUAGGGAAAUAGGGGAUCAGUGGCAUUUGGCAAUUCAAGAAGCAAUUUUAGAAAAAUGCAGUGAUAAUGAUGGCAUUGUUCACAUUGCAGUAGACAAAAAUUCACGUGAGGGUUGUGUAUAUGUUAAAUGUCUGUCUCCAGAAUAUGCUGGAAAGGCUUUUAAAGCAUUGCAUGGCUCUUGGUUUGAUGGGAAAUUGGUUACAGUAAAAUAUUUACGACUAGAUAGAUACCACCAUCGCUUUCCCCAGGCUCUCACUUCCAACACUCCAUUGAAGCCAUCAAAUAAACAUAUGAACUCCAUGUCUCAUCUUCGUCUUCGGACUGGCCUAACCAAUUCUCAAGGAAGUUCCUGAAAAGAUUUUCUUCCAUUUCUAAGACUGUUAUUUACAAUAGGAAAAUUCCUGUUUGGCUUUUUGUCUUCCUUUUUAAAUGCUUUUUGUAUGUAAUAUUUUUAUUGAUGAAUACAUCUCUGAACGUUCCAGAAGUCUUAAGGUUCCAAAGGGAUUUAGCAGUGAGGCAGCAAUGCUGAGUAGGUAGGAUAAUUAUUUCAUUCAGUUUUUGGAGCUC
rnacentral:lncRNA from 10 species